rnacentral:rRNA from 1 species
UUUCAGGUCGUCCGAAUUGUAAUCUAGAGAAGUAUUAUCCGCGCUGGCCUGUGUACAAGUCUCCUGGAACGGAGCCUCAUAGAGGGUGAGAAUCCCGUCUUUGACACGGAUCACCAGGGCUUUUGUGAUAUGCUCUCAAAGAGUCGAGUUGUUUGGGAAUGCAGCUCAAAACGGGUGGUAAAUUCCAUCUAAAGCUAAAUAUUGGCGAGAGACCGAUAGCGAACAAGUACCGUGAGGGAAAGAUGAAAAGAACUUUGGAAAGAGAGUUAAACAGUACGUGAAAUUGUUGAAAGGGAAACGCUUGAAGUCAGUCGCGUUGACCAGGAAUCAACCUUGCUUUUUUGCUCGGUGUACUUUCUGGUCGACGGGUCAGCAUCAAUUUUGACCGGUGGAUAAAGGUCAGAGGAAUGUGGCAUCUUAGGAUGUGUUAUAGUUUCUGGUCGCAUACAUCGGUUGGGAUUGAGGAACUCAGCACGCCGCAAGGCCGGGUUUUUAAUCACGUUCGUGCUUAGGAUGCUGGCAUAAUGGCUUUAAUCGACCCGUCUUGAAACACGGACCAAGGAGUCUAACAUACCUGCGAGUGUUUGGGUGGAAAACCCGAGCGCGUAAUGAAAGUGAAAAGUUGAGAUCCUUGUUAUGGGGGAGCAUCGACGCCCGGACCUGACCUUUUGUGACGGCUCCGCGGUAGAGCAUGUAUGUUGGGACCCGAAAGAUGGUGAACUAUGCCUGAAUAGGGUGAAGCCAGAGGAAACUCUGGUGGAGGCUCGUAGCGAUUCUGACGUGCAAAUCGAUCGUCGAA